GUACUGCUGAAGAGUCCCGAACAGGACGAAACAGUCGUCCAGUAU
rnacentral:hammerhead_ribozyme from 1 species